AGAUCAUCAUGGUGACUUGCUAGCAACUCACUGUGCUUUGAUGUCAGACUAUCUGAAUUUUUAAUUUAGUAAUGAAAAAUUUUUAGGUGCAAUCAAGUACUUGUCAAGUCGGUGUGUGACUCAAGAUGGGAUUGAUACCUUCGAAUAAGUAGGAGUUAAUGCAUUAGUAUAUUUUAAUUUGAUAAAACCUAGGCUCGGAUAAUCCAUGCAAUGGAUUUGAAAAAUUAAAAUAUAAUGUG
rnacentral:lncRNA from 1 species